rnacentral:rRNA from 1 species
GAUGAACGCUGGCGGCGUGCCUAAUACAUGCAAGUCGAGCGAACGGACGAGAAGCUUGCUUCUCUGAUGUUAGCGGCGGACGGGUGAGUAACACGUGGAUAACCUACCUAUAAGACUGGGAUAACUUCGGGAAACCGGAGCUAAUACCGGAUAAUAUUUUGAACCGCAUGGUUCAAAAGUGAAAGACGGUCUUGCUGUCACUUAUAGAUGGAUCCGCGCUGCAUUAGCUAGUUGGUAAGGUAACGGCUUACCAAGGCAACGAUGCAUAGCCGACCUGAGAGGGGGACCGGCAACACUGGAACUGAGACAGGGUCAAGACUCCUAGGGGGGGCAGCAGUAGGAAAUCUUCCGCAAGGGGGAAAAGCCUGAGGGAGCAACGCCGGGGGGGUGGUGAGGGUCUUCGGAUCGUAAAACUCUGUUAUUAGGGAAAAACAUAGGUGUAAGUAACUGUGCACAUUUUGGCGGUACAUAAUCAGAAAGCCACGGCUAACUACG